GUCAUCUGGAGUCACUGGUUUCUUGGAAAGAAAUAAUCCAAAGUCUUAAGAUAAUAUGAAAAUGCAAGAACUUUGAAAGAAAAGGUACAAUUGUCCUGUGCUAACUAUUGUCCAGUGUUUAAAAACUGGUCCAGUUUUCUCAAGACAGAAAGGAGAAGUAAGUAGAAGCAGCAAGAUUCUUCUUCUGUGAAGAUCCUGCUAUGAAGACCUCACAGGAUGGCCAUGUGGCAUAAACCAGAUGAAGCAUAUCGCUGAAGCACUGUCCAAUAUUUCCAAGCAAGAGGAGCCACUGAGUCAGGGAUGGUGUCAAUACAUGCAAUAUUUGAGGAGCACCCUUAGGGUGAGAUGUGGAAAAGGGAAAGAUUAACCGAAGCCUCUCAAUUUGUAUUUGGCAUUUCUAUAUAAAGAAAUGAAGUGUUUCUUCCAAAUAAA